UGCCUUUGCUUCACACUCUGAAACACAGUGUAAAGUCCCCUAACACAGUUCCUGGUAAGAGUAAGGAGUAAGAUCUCUGUAGAGAUCUAAUAUUUCCUUUAUUCCAAACCCCUCUACCAUUACUCCAAGGAAAGAAAAUUGCUAACAGUUCUGGGUUUUUUCACAUCUUUCUCUAAUUCAGAAGUGUUCCUUGCCACUGACAAAUUUACUACCUUUUAGUGUCACCUUUAAAUUCCUUUCCCAGCCAUGCUUGUUACAUUGACCAAUGUGAAGCCUGUCACCUUCCUAAAAUGUAAUCAUUGUAGUGGAAGGGUUAUGUGCCACUCCAUUCCUGUCAUCUUUUAUAUUUGCAGUAGGAUUUUUUCUCUUCAUGACACUCAGUGACUGAAAGUGCAAGUUUGGUUUCUGCCAUCUGUGGCAUUAUUGUAUAACUUGUUUGUAUCUUUUCCAAAAUCACAGCAUUGCCUGGCAGAGAGAGACUGAAAAUUAGGCAGAUGCACUUCAUUCCAUUUAGCAUGGUUACUUUCUAUUACUUUGUUCAAAUUUUCCUAAGAGAUAUCAAUAAUAAAAUUAAUGCCUGGCAAAAGCCAGCAUCUAUUUUUUUUAGGGCCACAAGAUGUCAGAUUGAGUUUUCAGCCAUCAACUUCCCUUGUGAUUUUGAAGCAGCUAUACAAGGCUGCUGGUAAUCUCCAAAGUAGGACACUGAAAAAUUAUAUUAUAAAAGCUUCUAGUAAAUUUAGUCUCUUGGAGUGUUAAAGGUCCAGCUCAACAGGGCCAACAAGUCAGCACUCUUACAGGUUUCUCUUAUAAACAUAUCCGAGAAAACUCUCAACAUUGGUUAUUAAAUUAUUUUAUUUUUUGGAUUGGAUCAGCAUCUCUGAGGGGAAAAGGUGCUUCUGUAUGUGGCAUACCUGGGAUACACUCAUCCUAUUAUAACUCCUGCAUUGUAUCUGAUCUUUUGAGGCUCCAACUGCUUAAGAGAAGGGAUCUGAGUCACUUGAAUA
rnacentral:lncRNA from 1 species